rnacentral:rRNA from 1 species
AAUGAACGUUGGCGGCGUGGAUUAGGCAUGCAAGUCGUACGGGCCGCAAGGCCAGUGGCGCAAGGGUGAGUAAGGCGACGGUAACCAACCCCACAGUUGGGUAUAGCCGCGGGAAACCGCGGGUAAUCCCCAGCGACGCGGGAGGCCGGCAUCGGUCUCCCGCCAAAGCCCCGGCGCUGUGGGACGGGCCGUCGUGGUAUUAGGUAGUCGGCGGGGUAACGGCCCACCAAGCCUGCGAUGCCUACCGGGCGUGCGAGCGUGGCCCGGCACACUGGGACUGAGACACUGCCCAGACUCCUACGGGAGGCUGCAGUCGAGAAUCUUCGGCAAUGGGCGCAAGCCUGACCGAGCGACGCCGCGUGGAGGACGAAGGCCUUCGGGUUGUAAACUCCUGUCGAGGGGGAAGAAGGGCCGUGAAAAGCCUUG